rnacentral:rRNA from 1 species
GGGUUGUGAGGUUAAGCGACUAAGCGUACACGGUGGAUGCCCUGGCAGUCAGAGGCGAUGAAGGACGUGCUAAUCUGCGAAAAGCGUCGGUAAGGUGAUAUGAACCGUUAUAACCGGCGAUGUCCGAAUGGGGAAACCCAGUGCAAUUCGUUGCACUAUCGUUAACUGAAUACAUAGGUUAACGAGGCGAACCGGGGGAACUGAAACAUCUAAGUACCCCGAGGAAAAGAAAUCAACCGAGAUUCCCCCAGUAGCGGCGAGCGAACGAGGAGCAGCCCAGAGUCUGAAUCAGCUUGUGUGUUAGUGGAACGGUCUGGAAAGUCCGACGGUACAGGGUGAUAGUCCCGUACACCAAAAUGCACAGGCUGUGAACUCGAAGAGUAGGGCGGGACACGUGGUAUCCUGUCUGAAUAUGGGGGGACCAUCCUCCAAGGCUAAAUACUCCUGACUGACCGAUAGUGAACCAGUACCGUGAGGGAAAGGCGAAAAGAACCCCGGCGAGGGGAGUGAAAAAGAACCUGAAACCGUGUACGUACAAGCAGUGGGAGCACCUUCGGGUGUGACUGCGUACCUUUUGUAUAAUGGGUCAGCGACUUAUAUUCUGUAGCAAGGUUAACCGUAUAGGGGAGCCGCAGGGAAACCGAGUCUUAACUGGGCGUUAAGUUGCAGGGUAUAGACCCGAAACCCGGUGAUCUAGCCAUGGGCAGGUUGAAGGUUGGGUAACACUAACUGGAGGACCGAACCGACUAAUGUUGAAAAAUUAGCGGAUGACUUGUGGCUGGGGGUGAAAGGCCAAUCAAACCGGGAGAUAGCUGGUUCUCCCCGAAAGCUAUUUAGGUAGCGCCUCGUGAAUUCAUCUUCGGGGGUAGAGCACUGUUUCGGCUAGGGGGUCAUCCCGACUUACCAACCCGAUGCAAACUACGAAUACCGAAGAAUGUUAUCACGGGAGACACACGGCGGGUGCUAACGUCCGUCGUGAAGAGGGAAACAACCCAGACCGCCAGCUAAGGUCCCAAAGUCAUGGUUAAGUGGGAAACGAUGUGGGAAGGCACAGACAGCCAGGAUGUUGGCUUAGAAGCAGCCAUCAUUUAAAGAAAGCGUAAUAGCUCACUGGUCGAGUCGGCCUGCGCGGAAGAUGUAACGGGGCUAAACCAUGCACCGAAGCUGCGGCAGCGACACUAUGUGUUGUUGGGUAGGGGAGCGUUCUGUAAGCCUGCGAAGGUGACCUGUGAGGGUUGCUGGAGGUAUCAGAAGUGCGAAUGCUGACAUAAGUAACGAUAAAGCGGGUGAAAAGCCCGCUCGCCGGAAGACCAAGGGUUCCUGUCCAACGUUAAUCGGGGCAGGGUGAGUCGACCCCUAAGGCGAGGCCGAAAGGCGUAGUCGAUGGGAAACAGGUUAAUAUUCCUGUACUUGGUGUUACUGCGAAGGGGGGACGGAGAAGGCUAUGUUAGCCGGGCGACGGUUGUCCCGGUUUAAGCAUGUAGGCUGGUUGUCCAGGCAAAUCCGGAUAAUCAAGGCUGAGGUGUGAUGACGAGGCACUACGGUGCUGAAGUAACAAAUGCCCUGCUUCCAGGAAAAGCCUCUAAGCAUCAGGUAACAUUAAAUCGUACCCCAAACCGACACAGGUGGUCAGGUAGAGAAUACCAAGGCGCUUGAGAGAACUCGGGUGAAGGAACUAGGCAAAAUGGUGCCGUAACUUCGGGAGAAGGCACGCUGGUGUGUAGGUGAAGUCCCUGCGGAUGGAGCUGAGACCAGUCGAAGAUACCAGCUGGCUGCAACUGUUUAUUAAAAACACAGCACUGUGCAAACACGAAAGUGGACGUAUACGGUGUGACGCCUGCCCGGUGCCGGAAGGUUAAUUGAUGGGGUUAUCCGUAAGGAGAAGCUCUUGAUCGAAGCCCCGGUAAACGGCGGCCGUAACUAUAACGGUCCUAAGGUAGCGAAAUUCCUUGUCGGGUAAGUUCCGACCUGCACGAAUGGCGUAAUGAUGGCCAGGCUGUCUCCACCCGAGACUCAGUGAAAUUGAACUCGCUGUGAAGAUGCAGUGUACCCGCGGCAAGACGGAAAGACCCCGUGAACCUUUACUAUAGCUUGACACUGAACAUUGAGCCUUGAUGUGUAGGAUAGGUGGGAGGCUUUGAAGCGUGGACGCCAGUCUGCGUGGAGCCAACCUUGAAAUACCACCCUUUAAUGUUUGAUGUUCUAACGUUGGCCCCUGACCGGGGUUGCGGACAGUGUCUGGUGGGUAGUUUGACUGGGGCGGUCUCCUCCCAAAGCGUAACGGAGGAGCACGAAGGUUAGCUAAUCCUGGUCGGACAUCAGGAGGUUAGUGCAAUGGCAUAAGCUAGCUUGACUGCGAGCGUGACGGCGCGAGCAGGUGCGAAAGCAGGUCAUAGUGAUCCGGUGGUUCUGAAUGGAAGGGCCAUCGCUCAACGGAUAAAAGGUACUCCGGGGAUAACAGGCUGAUACCGCCCAAGAGUUCAUAUCGACGGCGGUGUUUGGCACCUCGAUGUCGGCUCAUCACAUCCUGGGGCUGAAGUAGGUCCCAAGGGUAUGGCUGUUCGCCAUUUAAAGUGGUACGCGAGCUGGGUUUAGAACGUCGUGAGACAGUUCGGUCCCUAUCUGCCGUGGGCGCUGGAGAAUUGAGGGGGGCUGCUCCUAGUACGAGAGGACCGGAGUGGACGCAUCACUGGUGUUCGGGUUGUCAUGCCAAUGGCACUGCCCGGUAGCUAAAUGCGGAAGAGAUAAGUGCUGAAAGCAUCUAAGCACGAAACUUGCCCCGAGAUGAGUUCUCCCUGAGACUUUAAGUCUCCUGAAGGAACGUUAAAGACGAUGACGUUGAUAGGCCGGGUGUGUAAGCGCAGCGAUGCGUUGAGCUAACCGGUACUAAUGAACCGUGAGGCUUAACCUUACAACGCCGAAG